rnacentral:ncRNA from 1 species
GGAAACCCGUUGAACCCCGGUCGUGCUAGGGAUAGGGAAUUGCAAUUAUUUCCCUUGAACGAGGAAUUCCCAGUAAGCGCGAGUCAUUAGCUCGCGUUGAUUACGUCCCUGCCCUUUGUACACACCGCCCGUCGGUACUACCGAUAGAAUGGUACAUUGAGGUCCUCAGCCCCCCUCACCCACUUCACCCACAUCCAGUGGAACACAUUCAUCAAACGAACUAGUAAUAGACGAAAAAAUGAAAAAAAUGAAAAUAC